CAAUCCCGCCAAUUUUUCAGCGGCCGCCUCAUAAAAUUCUUUACCGUCAUCAGUGCAGAGAGAGAGAGAGGGGGAAGCGACGGAAGAGCUCAAGAGAUGGGAGUUCACCCUGAGCGGCAACGCCUUGAAGACCUUGGCUCGCUCCAUCGCUUGCCUCUCCCGCAUCGGCAACGACCUCGCUAUCCAAGCUUCUCCCUCCCAGGUCAUUCGAUUUCUUCUUCUUCUUCUCCGUCUCCGUCUCUCUCCCCCGCAGCUCCGGUCGAAAAGUUCGCGCGUCGCCGCUGAAAUCCAUGCCGAUCGUUCCUCGGCUUCAUCCAUCGAGUGAAAAAGCUGAGUAGUUGCUUCUUCGUGCGCCCUGACGAGCGAUGCUUAGUUUGGAUGAUGCUAUGCUGUUGUUAGGUAUUUGGCUCGUUUCGCUCGAUUCAGUGUCCGAUUGACAAAUUUCAGAGUCCUUCCACCGAUUGCCGAGCGACUGGAGCUUUUGGCGGUGGAUUUGAGGCAGAAAUUUGUUGACCUAGGUUGCGAUUGGCCCCGUCGACGAUGAUUAGAACUUGACGUGCAUAAAAAUCUGAAGUGACUAAAAGAAUCUAAUUCCGUUGAUAGGAUGAUUCAAAGUCAUUAUAUCGUAAGACUAAGGCAAUUCAUUGCUGAAGCCAGGACAACUAUCAGUGGUACUCGCGGAAAAUGUCAGAAUGGCGGAAACCAUAGGAGAAAAACCCUAUGCAUAACCUUCUAUGGGUGCUGCUAUUCUGUCUUGCUGGUUUGUCUAGUUUCUUUGAUGGUAUUAUAUGGAGUUUUGCAACACUGAAUAAGUGAAAAACACAAUUGCGCUCCCUAGCAUAUCUCUUACGUGACCAUACUUUGCAUGACUUCCUUUUGCCUCGUCGCCUUUAACUACCAAACAACAAUAUAAGUUCCAAGUUCUAGGCUCAUGUUUGGCACUUGGCACCAUUUGAUUUGAAAUUAGAAUAGAAAUAGUAUUGAUCUGUGUACAAAUAUCACCUUCUUACUUGUAUAUAUAUCAUAUCAAGAUUCUCAUAUUCGUAUUCAACCUCCAACUUUCCUUUCAUGCACUCAAUUCGUCAAGAUCUGCCUAUCAGUUGAUUACCCUCAAGCCAGACCUCUUUGAUGUGUUUACAGUAUCUGGCGCACAAGUUCAAUUGAGUAUUCUUUUGAAGUCUUUUCAGUCCUCUGAACACCUAUUACAAAUAUUGGUUAUCAAAGUGUGUAAUUACCAGACAUGCAUCAAAGGUUCAAUGGACUCUGCAGCGCUUCAAUGGUAAAGACCUUUCAGUUGUAUGCACAGUGCUCUGAAUGUGUUAUGUUGGAAAUGGUGUAUUUGAUGGUUAAGAUUUGAAACUUAUGGGCAUAGAUGGAAGGGUUAGAGGAUUCCUUUUUCCCCUAAAAAUAAUCUCGCUCCAAUUCUAUGGAAAAAACGAGCAGCAAAUGAAGUCUUGAAACUGACACGUUCAUUGAGAGAAAAUGACUGCAAAGUGCUGUGAUGAGCAUUAAUAAGUCAUAUCAUAUGAGUCCACCAAGAUUAGCUUCUCUAAUUUUUCAUCACGCAAAAGCAGCGUGAACUCUGUCUAAUGGAUUUUGCAGCGCACCAAUAUGACCUAUAAAGCCAACGGAUUCAGAAUAAAGAGAUGGCGGGAACUUAUUAUUUAUUAGAUUCCAUGUGUACGACUUUUACUUCUUUUUGUUGGCCACUUACCAUUUUAAGUCUUUGACUCAAUCAUGCUAACUACAUAUCAUUCUGUAUGUUUUCUAACUACAAUAUAAUUGGAGGUUGUCAAACCUGCAUUAAUUUGAUAAGAAGCUGUACCAUGCAGAGAGACUUGUUUAUCUCACCACGCAAACUGUGAGUUUUUGUUCAUGCAUAUGUGAUGAGGUUUAAACCAAGUUCUUGUCACAUGUAUGCAGGAAUUAAGAAAACAUACUGGAUUACUUGCAAUGUUGACCCUGACGUACAUCAAUUAUCUCCGGAUAGGAGACAAUACCCAAGCAAUUUUGUAGUGAGGCCUCAUGAUCUGAACAGAUUGCUUGCAAAUUCAGUCAUCCCUUCAGGAAAUCACUAUCAUUGCAACUGAAUGCAACUCCAAACCUUCUGAUGCUGCAAGUGAAUUUGGUGGGAAAUCUGUUGAGUUCCAAAGCUACAUCAAUCCUACCAAAUGUAGACAUGAACUAUAUUCUUUUCAACCGAAUAUGGCAAAGAACAUCAUGGUUCAGAUUCUGGUUGCCAAAAACGACUCUUUACUGCACACUCAGCUGUGGAUAGACCCUGCGGAAGAGUUUGUGCAGUAUGCUCAUAGUGGUAACCCAGUGGACUUGACUUUUGCUGUCAAAGAGUUGAAGGCCUAUUUUGAUGGCCCCUAAAUUCGGCAUUGAUGAAGGGGCCUCUUCCAAUUUUGAUGCUGCACUUGUAGUGGCCACCAUUCUCACAUCAGAAUUACAAGAAGGUAAUACUGGACCUUCAGCAAAUGAAAUGCUGGGCCAGGCUGAUACUGGGGAAGCUUCUGGAUAAUCCCUCUAAAACUAUUUUCUUCGUCCUUUGGUUGUGUAGAUGGACAUGGUUUUUCACGACGUCAUCGAAGUAAUUGGGUUGAUGCCAAUGAGGAUGAGAAUGAGGAUGAUGAUAACGAGGAUGGUGUUGACUCUGCGUUCAAUCAACACUGCCAUAUUAUGAAGAUCGAUAGCAUUAUGUUUCCUGUUUAACUAUGAUAGCAUUAUGUUUCUUUUCUCGUUUUUCACCUACUUGACUUUACGUUAGUGCUCGUGCCUAUUUAGCUAGUCCAGCAUGCAAUUAAAGCUGCCAUUUUAACGCGCUUCUUUUUCCCCCUCUCUUUUGUUUUUCAGUAUUAAGUUGAUGUGCUUUGCUGAAGGAGGUGUCGGUAUGGGUAUGUUUCUACACUCGUAUUCUAUCAUAACUCGUUCCUGGCUUCCUGCCAAGAAAAACAGAGCAGCGCCAAUAGAUCCUACAGAAUCACAUGCUUUAUGGACAGGACCUGCUGUUUAGAACUAUUGGAGAUGGUGUUGAAGUUGCUUGUAGUUUUUUCAUUUGUACUAACCUAAAUAGAUCCCUUGCCGUAGAAAGCUUUUCUGCUUUGUCUUUUGGAAACCAUUAUAAGUUAAUCUGUGUAUAUUAAAAAGGAACGGGUCAAAUGGUUUUAGA